GUGCCAGCAGCCGCGGUAAUACGGGGGGUGCAAGCGUUGUUCGGAAUUAUUGGGCGUAAAGAGCGUGUAGGCGGCCGGAUGUGUCAGAUGUGAAAGCCCUGGGCUUAACCCAGGAAGUGCAUUUGAAACUGUCCGGCUUGAGUAGGGGAGAGGGAAGUGGAAUUCCUGGUGUAGAGGUGAAAUUCGUAGAUAUCAGGAGGAACACCGGUGGCGAAGGCGACUUCCUGGCCCUAUACUGACUCUGAGACGCGAGAGCGUGGGUAGCAAACAGGAUUAGAUACCCUGGUAGUCCACGCCGUAAACGAUGUUCACUAGGUGUUGGGGGUAUUGACCCCCUCAGUGCCGGAGCUAACGCAUUAAGUGAACCGCCUGGGGUGUACGGUCGCAAGACUAAAACUUAAAGGAAUUGACGGGG
rnacentral:rRNA from 1 species